UACGGAGGGUGCAAGCGUUAUCCGGAUUCACUGGGUUUAAAGGGUGCGUAGGUGGGAAGGUAAGUCAGUGGUGAAAUCCCCGAGCUUAACUUGGGAACUGCCAUUGAUACUAUCUUUCUUGAAUACCUUGGAGGUGAGCGGAAUAUGUCAUGUAGCGGUGAAAUGCUUAGAUAUGACAUAGAACGCCAAUUGCGAAGGCAGCUCACUACACGGUCAUUGACACUGAGGCACGAAAGCGUGGGGAUCAAACAGG
rnacentral:rRNA from 1 species